GGUACAAUGUUGAUUAUUUAGAGACCUCAUCUUCAUGAGACUAGCAAGGGAUGGACAUUCUGAAGAAGAAGAGAUGAGGUGAGUUUCUGAAGUUCACCGUCCAAUCCAAGUAUUAAAGGUGAGCAUUACUAUUCAAAGGGACAUAAUUAACCCGUUAAAUUAUUCUUAGAGCAAGGAACCAGUUAUUAUCUAACCGAAUAACUGUAAACUAGCUUCUUUUUCUAAAAUGAGGUGUUGUCUUUAAAUAGAUAUGGACCGGAGAGGGGGCUUGAGAAAUGCUAAUUAGGCUAGAGGCGUAUGAUAUUUUUUUCUCCAGUUGCAAUGCACGGGCAUGUUUGCUAUAAUAAUAAAGCAUCCAGUGGAGGGGUUUAGAAAAAUAGAGACGGUUCUAUUUGAUAUGUAAUUUAGAAAUUAAUGGCUGGAGGAUCCUAAACUAACAUAUGGCAUUUUGUUUCAAUUUCUCUUUACCUGAUUGUGUUACUUAUGCACAAUCACCAUACUUGACAUAGGUCCCUGCACUUCCGUUGACGAGUAUUUUGUCAGCAUCUCGAUGCGGAGGUACAACUUUAGCUGAUCUUCGUCAUGUUUUACAUUGUUUCUCAGUACUUUUUACUGCAAUGUGGAGGUCAGAUUCUAGCUGAUAUAUCUUCAUGCUUUACCUUGUUUACCAAUGUCCCAAUGUGGACGUAAAGAUUCUAGCUGAUAUAUCUUCAUGUUUUACCUUGUUUACCAAUGUCCCAAAAUUUUGUUUCGUCUUUGCUUUGAAUUAAUUUUCCUUACUUUGACUGAGUAGGACAUUUAUUUGAAAUACUAAAUUGUGGUGUCGCUACCUCUAAGGACCACAGCGUUGUAGCGCCCUUGGCACAAGGUGACCAUCUUCAGCGCAUCGUGGUGUCGCUGCCCACACGAUCUCUACAGACACCACAAAAGGCUACAGGACCGACAAGGCCGGUGGCCUGACCACUGAAUCACGUUGUUGUGCGGGCGCCUUGAUCUCGCAUGCGGCCGUCUAAAGCCCCAGGGGCCAACCUCGCUCAAGCGUCGCCGACAGGCUCUCUUUUGCACAGGAGAAAAUGGUUGGAUAUAUGUGCCUCCUCCGUCUCUUAUUCCCUGAAAUGUAAUUUGAUGACUCAUUGAUGUCACACUCGCUUAGGAUUAAACUGCACAGGUUAGAUUGACAUUUUGCCCUGUGUUUAAUUACUACAUGCACUGCACGCUGAUCCAUGUAUAUAUUGGCUCCCCUAUAUAUACCUCUAUUGGUGAAAAGUUUUGACUUUCGAGUUUUGUCAGACGUGAGUUGCAGCAAUUUUCAGUUACUUUUCUAUGCCUGUCAUUCAUCUCUGAACCGUUGUGAUGGAGAUUGUAAUACUGUGUUUAGAAUAUGUCAGUCCAUAUGCGAGAUCUUCUUUUCAACUUGGCAACCAU
rnacentral:lncRNA from 1 species